rnacentral:rRNA from 1 species
GAUGAACGCUGGCGGCAUGCCUAACACAUGCAAGUCGAUCGGUAAGGCCCUUCGGAGUACACGAGAGGCGGACGGCUGAGUAACGCGUAGGAACACACCCUGCAGUGAGGGAUAAGACAACGAAAGGUGUUCUAAUACCGCAUACGGUCUUCGGAUUAAAGCAUUUAUGCGCUGAAGGAGUGGGCUGCGUCAUCUUAGAUAGUUGGUGAGGUAAUGGCUCACUAAGACGAUGAUGUGUAGCUGGUCUGGGAGGAUGAUCAGCCAGACUGGAACUGAGACACGCACCAGACUCCUACGGGAGGCAGCAGUGAGGAAUAUUUCACAAUGAGCGAAAGCUUGAUGGAGCAAUGCCGCGUGCAGGAUGAAGGCACUCGGUUUGUAAACUGCUUUUAUAAGAGAAGAUUAUGACGGUAACUUAUGAAUAAGGGACGGCUAACUACGUG